CCCUAUGGGGUGCACCAGGCCGUUGAGGAUGGUCAUGAUCAUCCAGCGGCGGGAGAACAGGUCCUGGUGGUGCAGAAAGAACGCCCCGUAAAAAUGCUGCCCCGUCCGGUAGAUGGUGGCGAGGGUGGCGGCCAGGAUGCCCCAGCCCAUGAAGACCUGGAACGGCCGCCGCAUCCGCUGCCAGAGGAGCCCGUCCUCGGGCAGGACGGCGAUCAUGCGGAACAGGGGGGGCGGGGUCAGGAAGAAGAAGAUCCAGAAGUACAGGUAGAUGAUGUACGUGCUGGGGGGGAGGGAGGCGCUCAAGAUGGCCAGGCAGGCCUGGGGGGCCACGAAGUUCAGCAUGGCGGGCGUGUCGUUUUUCAGGAAGAAGGUGAACAGCGAGACGGCCAGGAUGGAAAUCGCCACCAGCAGGAUCAGCCACGUGAUGGCGGGAGGGC
rnacentral:rRNA from 1 species